CAUCCUUAGAUAUUUAAAGCUCAGGCGGUACGGGAUGGGCAUGCGGAACAUAAGCUAAAUGGGAGGGUGACGGACUACCAAAGCAACGAAGUAAAGGGGACCUGAGAGGGUGAUCCCCCACACUGGUACUGACACACGGACCAGACUCCUACGGGAGGCAUCAGUGAGGAAUAUUGUUCAAUGGGCGCAAGCCUUGAACCAUCCAUCCCGCGUGCUGUAAGUCGGCCCUAUGGGUUUAAUCUGCUUUUCCAGGGGGAGAUUUGUCUGUCGUGACAGGAAUUGACGGUACCCUGGGAAUAAGCAUCGGCUAACUCCGUGCCAGCAGCCGCGGUAAUACGGAGGAUGCGAGCGUUAUCCGGAUUUAUUGGGUUUAAAGGGUGCGUAGGCGGAUAGAUAAGUCAGUGGUGAAUACCUGCAGCUUAACUGUAGACUUGCCGUUGAUACUGUCAGUCUUGAGUAUGGUCAAGGUAGACGGAAUGUGUAAUGUAGCGGUGAAAUGCUUAGAUAUUACACAGAACACCGAUUGCGAAGGCAGCUUACUGGGCCAUUACUGACGCUGAUGCACGAAAGCGUGGGGAUCGAACAGGAUUAGAUACUCUGGUAGUCCACGCCGUAAACGAUGAUCACUCGCUGUUAGCGAUACACAGUUAGCGGCUAAGCAAAA
rnacentral:rRNA from 1 species